GAAUCAGGCAUUCGGGCACCAGUUGACCCGCAGGAGGGACCUUCCAAAGGUCCAGCGAGCUCGGACCAACCGCUGUAGACGUGCAUCCGAGAGCCACCACAGGGCAUUCCCCGCUUCCCGUUCUUCCCCAUUUUGAUGUAGGGUUCCUUGGUUCACAACGGUUAUCUCCUUUGUAAUUAAACCUGUAUAGAUGCUCUGAAAUUGCCCUGGAACAUCUUUAACUGUUGGAACUUACUUACUUUUGUAUACUGGCAGUUGGUGUAUAUAUUUAGGUACUUGUUGACAGGUGUAAA